GGGUUGUGAGGUUAAGCGACUAAGCGUACACGGUGGAUGCCCUGGCAGUCAGAGGCGAUGAAGGGCGUGCUAAUCUGCGAUAAGCGCCGGUAAGGUGAUAUGAACCGUUAUAACCGGCGAUACCCGAAUGGGGAAACCCAGUGUGACUCGUCACACUAUCAUUAACUGAAUCCAUAGGUUAAUGAGGCGAACCGGGGGAACUGAAACAUCUAAGUACCCCGAGGAAAAGAAAUCAACCGAGAUUCCCCCAGUAGCGGCGAGCGAACGGGGAGGAGCCCAGAGCCUGAAUCAGCAUGUGUGUUAGUGGAAGCGUCUGGAAAGGCGCGCGAUACAGGGUGACAGCCCCGUACACAAAAGCGCAUGUGCUGUGAGCUCGAUGAGUAGGGCGGGACACGUGGUAUCCUGUCUGAAUAUGGGGGGACCAUCCUCCAAGGCUAAAUACUCCUGACUGACCGAUAGUGAACCAGUACCGUGAGGGAAAGGCGAAAAGAACCCCGGCGAGGGGAGUGAAAAAGAACCUGAAACCGUGUACGUACAAGCAGUGGGAGCCCCACCACCAAAGCAUUUGCUGUACCGCGUUGACGGAGCGAAGCGACGUCAAACCGAUAAAACAGCAGUGUAAAGUGAGCCGCAGGGCGCUUUGCGCGACAGCGCAAAGGCAGGCGGUUUCGCGUAGCGAAAGCGAAUGCUUUGGGGUGGGGUGACUGCGUACCUUUUGUAUAAUGGGUCAGCGACUUAUAUUCUGUAGCAAGGUUAACCGAAUAGGGGAGCCGGAGGGAAACCGAGUCUUAAUUGGGCGUUAAGUUGCAGGGUAUAGACCCGAAACCCGGUGAUCUAGCCAUGGGCAGGUUGAAGGUUGGGUAACACUAACUGGAGGACCGAACCGACUAAUGUUGAAAAAUUAGCGGAUGACCUGUGGCUGGGGGUGAAAGGCCAAUCAAACCGGGAGAUAGCUGGUUCUCCCCGAAAGCUAUUUAGGUAGCGCCUCGUGAAUUCAUCUCCGGGGGUAGAGCACUGUUUCGGCUA
rnacentral:rRNA from 1 species